AAUCCCAGGAAAGGCAGGAGGGCACUCCUCCAAUGGGAACCUGGAGCGGUCGGUAGCGGUGGCGGCCUGCGACCUCGCAAUAGCUCCGGCAGGCGGGAGGGACGCGUCCAGUGCUUUCGCGAGGUCCUGCUGCCUGCCGCUGGAACCUGGUCGAGCGAGGCAGCGGCGACGCCGACGGUCUGAAGUUCCCGGUCAGCGGGUUGCGGAGGAUCGUGCGGGUAGCAAAGGGAGGGCGAGUGCUCCUGCGGCCCCAGACGGCAACCAGAACAUACAUCAUUGUUAGAAUCAUCACCCUGCAGCUAGCUUGGACACCAUUAAAAGGGCUCAUCAACUGCAAACGGAUAGAAGUAUCUGAUAUUCGUGAAGACAGAGUUUCAGGGCUUCUGCCUGGAGCUACACUCUCCAGAAGCCCCUGCUUGGCCUCUCUGCACCCAACCCCACCCCAACCAGUCACAGCUUGGGUCGUGUGUGGUGUUUCUUGGCAACUGGAAAACAGACUCCUCCAGCAGCUCCACAGGCCCCUUGUCCUCACUGAGCAGAAGACUACAGAAGCUGGCUACUGAAGAAGCUGUCCAAGUCUUAGAGCUCCUCCUUGGCCCUGCUUAGCACACUUACCACAGAGCAGUAACCGAGUGCUGGCUGUUACUCAUUUGCGCUUACCACCUGCAGGGACUUCAGAGGGAUUUGUCAGACUCCAUUUCACCCUAAGGCCACUCCCUAAGAAUCUCCACAGGAGGCUACCCAUAGAGAGAGGUGGCUUGCCUAGGGUCUCCACUGCCUUAGGUCAUACGUGGACACUUCCAAGGCUAAGGGGAUUAAUAUCUUUUUGCCCACCUGUAACCCACAUAUCCAUUGGAAAAUUCUGCCUCCUGCUAUUUUCUGUGUUUUUAUUUGUUUUUUUGGUAGGAAGAGUUUUAACUACUUCUUCAGUUCCUUUAAUAGUUGGAGGAUUAUUCAGGAUUUCUUUUUCUUCUUGCGUUAAUUUUGGUAAGUUAUAGUUUUCUAGGAAUUGGUCCAUUUUGUCUGUGUUCUCAAACUUGUCGGCAUAAAGUUUCCUUGUUUUUUUGUUCUCUGUUCUAUCUGUAGUUAUGUCUCCUUUUUCAUUGCUGAUAUUGGUUAUUUGUGCUUUCUCACUUUUUUUCUUGAUCAAUCUCUCCAGAGGUUUGUCUAUUUUAUUAGUCUUUUCAAAGAACCAGCUUUUGGCUUUGUUGCUCCUCUCUAUUGUGUCUUUGUUUUCUAUUUCUUUAAUUUCUGCUCUUAUCUUUUUUGAUCUCCUUCCUUCCACAUUUUUUGGAUUUAUUCUGUUGUUCUUUUUCUAAUUUCUUAAAUUGGGCACAGAGCUCAUUAAUUUUUGUGCAUUUAAGGACAUAACUUUCCCUCUAACUACUGCUUUUCUUCAAGUUCAGACAUGUCGUAUUUUAUUAUUGUUCGGUUCCAAGUACUCAGCAUUUCCAUCGUGGUUACUUCUUUGACCUGCGAGAAGUGUGUUUCUAAAUAUUUGGAGAUUUAAAAUUUUACCUCUUUGUUAUUGAAAUUUGUCUUAAUUGCAUUAUGAUCAGAGGAUGUGAUCUGUGUGAUAAAAGCUCUGAAAUUUAUUGAGACUUGUUUUAUGGCUUAGUACAUGAUCAGUAUUUUUGAAUGUUUCCUAUGUGAUUUAUAAGAAUGUAUGAUCUCUAAUUGUUGAAUACAGAGUUCUACAUAUGUCUAUUAUCAAGUUUGUUAAUUGUAUUGUUCACAUUUUCUAUAUCUACUGAUUUUCGGGGGGUCGUACUAUACCAUGAAUUGUAAGGUGUGUUAAUAUUCAGUUCUGAUGGUGGAUUUAUCUGUUUCUUCUUGUAAUUCUCUUUUUCUUUACAUGUUUUGAGGGUAUUUUAUUAGGAAUAUUCAAAUCAAGAAGUGUUAUAUAUUCCUGCUAAACAUGUAUGACGUUCUCUAUUCCUGAUAAUGCAUUUUUCCUUGAAGUCUAUUGUAUCUUACAGUAAUAUAGAAACACAGACUUUUCUCCUGUUAGGAUUUGUGUUACUUUGAAACAUUUUCAUGCCUUAAUACUUUAAUUAUGUCUCUUGGGAAUGGCAUACAGCUGGACCUUUUAAAAAUCGAAUCUAAUGCUCUCUAUCUUUUAAUGGGCAAGUUUAGUCUGUUUACAUAUAUUGUGAAAUAUUUGGAUUUUUCUCUACCGUCAUAGUUUUUUAUUUCUAUUUCCUACCACCACCUUUGUGAUGCUUCAUUUUUCUCUUUUUUUGCCUGCUUUUUUCAUUUGUUUGUUUCCUUAUUCUAUUUUUUUCCUCAUUGCGGUUUGGAAUUUACCUGUUCUUUUCCCAUUAUUUCUGUGGUUAUCCUUGAGGUUUUGCUAUGCACAUAUAACUUAUAAGUUUUAAAGUUAAAACAGUGCUGGAGUUCCCAUCAUGGUGCAGUGGAAACGAAUCCGACUAGGAACCAUGAGGUUGCGGGUUCGAUUCCUGACCUUGCUCAGUGGGUUAAGGAUCUGGCAUUGCCAUGAACUGUGGUGUAGGUCGCAGACAUGGCUUGGAUCUAAUGUGGCUAUGGCUGUGGUGUAGGCCUGCAGCCGUAGCUCCAAUUCGACCCCUAGCCUGGGAACCUCCAUGUGCCAUGGGUAUGGCCCUAAAAAACAAACAUAAAUCAAUCAAUCAAUAAAGUUAAACAGUACUUUAACAUCCUUCUUGAAUGCGAGAAGCUUAGAAACAUUCAACUCUAGUCAUUCCUCUCUUGGACCACGUGUUAUUUUUUUGAGUAUAUUUAUUUCCUCCCUUUCCCCCACUAACCUCACAAAUUCUAUAUCAUCCUUAGUAUUAUUUUAUGUAGAUGGUGUAUGUUUGGAUUUUCAUGCAUAUAUUCUUGCAUCUCAGACCAUCAUUCUGGGAUCAUUUUCCUUCAUUAUGAAUACAGUGUUGAGAUGCCCUUUUAGUACAGAUUUGUUGGUGUUAAAUUCUCCCAGUCUUUAUUAUAUGUAAAUGUCUUUAUUCUAUACUCAUUCUUAAAAGAUAGAUUGUUAUAGGUAAUAUUAGAAGUCCAUUGUCAGUCUAAUUACUAUUUUUGUAGGUGUUUUUGUUUUCUGGGUAUUCUCAAGGUCUCUCUCUCUCAUGGAGGAGAAUGUUCAGGGGGUUCUGCACUUUCAUUCUAUUAGUGUUUCGGUAUGUAUUUCUUUUUUAUUUAUUGUACUUUGGAAAUGUGCUUCAUGCCUCUGGAUUCAUGUUUUUCAUAAUUUCUAGAAAGUUCUCAGUCAUUAUCUCUUCAAAUAUUGCCUUUCCUCCAUUAUUUCUAUGUUUUCUUUCUCAGAAUUCAGUUAGUCAUAUUUUGCAUCUCUUCAUUCUAUCUUCCAUAUCUCGUAACAUCUCAUUGAUAUUUUCUAUCUUGUCUUCUUGCACUUCAUUGUGGACAAUUUCUUCAGAUAUAUCUUUCAGCUUAUUGAUUCUCUCUUCAGCUGUGUCUGAUCUGCUGUUUAAUCUGUCCACAGAAUUUUUUAUUUCAACAAUGGUAUUUUUCAUUUGUACAGCCUUCAUAUAUUUCACUUACCAAUCUGCCUGGUCAUCUCUUAAUAGUUUCUUGUUGCUUGCUCAUCUUUGUGGUUGCCUCUGUUAUUUCUUUAAACAUUUUAUACAAUUUUUGUUCAACCAGUGUCACUGUUUGCCUGAGUAUGGCAUUGUAAAUAUUGUUCACAUCCAGACUACAUAGUACAGUCUAAUGACAUAUCCUUUGUUACAUACCUUUUUGUUUUCCUAGUAAUUCCCUCGUUUUUUUGGUUUGUUUUUUUUUUCUUUUGCCUAGUGUUCUAAUACCAUUACUAGGUCUUCUCUGAAAUUCUUUUAAAAAUCCCUAUCAGGCUGUGUCCCUCCUCUGCUCAAAAUUCUCCCAUAACUCCCAUCUCCCUUAGAAUAAAAGCCAAAGCCCUCACCAUGGCCCCAAAGUCUCUACACAAGCUGGUCCCCAUAACCUCUCUGACCUGGCCUCAUAUCACUCUUCCCAUCACUCACUCUUCUCCAGCCACAUUGGCCUCCUUGCUGUCCCUUAAACAUGCCAGAUAUCCCCCCUCUUCAGAGCCUUUGUACUUGCUGUUAUCACUGUCUGGAACACUCUAAAUUGUAGAUAAUCUGAUGACUUGCCCACCCACUUCUAGUAUGCUCAAAUGUCACCUCCCUCGAGAAGCAUUCCCUGACCACCAUAUCUAAAAUAACCCCAUUCACCAGCACUUUCAUCAUCCCCUUAUCCUAUUUAUGGCUUAUGUUUUUCUGCAGAGCACUGAUCACCACCUGAUAUAUUUAUUUAUUUAUUGUGAUUAGUGUUUGUCUGUCCCCAAUAGACUGUAAGCUCCACAAAGCAGGACUCUUGUUUUUGUUCUUUGCUGUAUCCCCAGUGCCGAGAACAGUGCAUAGUAAUAUUGAGUAGAUACUCAAUAAAUAUUUGUGGAAUAAACUGAAUGAAUUAAUG
ensembl:lncRNA